UUUUAAAUUUAGACCUUUGCUCUUUAAUCUGAAUUACAUUAAAUUUACAUUACAUUACAUUACAUGCCACUAUACCAAAAAUCCUUCUCACAGCUGCAGUUUUGACAUAGCAGGAAAAAACAUUUGAAUGAAUAACAAUAAAAAGUAUGCUAGAAUCCUUGUAUUGUGCAUUCUACCUCACUGUCAUAGUUUGGAAACAAAGUCCUUAUUGACAACAUUUGCCUGACGUGCGUUUUUGCCACAUUGUCAAAGUCUGUAAGCAUGACAACUGUAACUUUCCACAAUGAAGCACAAAAAACGUGUCUCUAAAAGACUCUUUAUACAGUCAUUUUGGAGGUGUCUAAUGCCCAAUGGACUAGAGUAACCUAGAAUACUUCUGCAGUGAAGUAUGCAGUCUAUAAAACUCCCAAAUCUAAUGCAUUAUCAGCGACAGUGACAUGUUUUUCUUUUCCCAGGUUUUAUCUAUAACACAGAUUAAAUGCUUUUUUGUCCAGUUGGUGUAUAACACUCAUAUUAGCAUCAGCAAGAUCUUCAGAAAGAAAGGAAGGAAAAGAAAAAAGACAUCUGUGCUGACCUGUGAGCUCCUUUUGUAUAAUCAGUGUAAAAAAAAUAUUACUCUUUGCCAAUGUCUGAUCUCAGAACAGCAGGCGCAUAUAUUUAUGUCCAUUUAAUUGUCCAAAUCAGUGGAACAGAUGAAAGUGUUUGUGUUCAGCAUCGAGUAACAUUCAGGUACUUGGUUUGGGUGGAUGCAAUGCUAUUUAUUAUCUUUUUAACUGAAAUGAGUUUUGCUGAGUUGGAAAGUAACAGAAAAUCAGGCUUUAAAAAAAAAAAAAAAAAAAAAAAAAAAAAUAUAAAAAAACACCCAGCACGCCCCUGCGGGCGGUUUAUCCUUCAAGCUCGGGUCCUCUACCAGAGGCCUGGGAGCUUGAGGGUCCUGCGCAGUAUCUUAGCUGUUCCCAGGACUGCGCUCUUCUGGACAGAGAUUUCCAAUGUUGUUCCCGGGAUCUGCUGGAGCCACUCGCCUAGCUUGGGAGUCACCGCACCUAGUGCUCCGAUUACCACGGGGACCACCGUUACCUUCACCCUCCACAUCCUCUCGAGCUCUUCUCUGAGCCCUUGGUAUUUCUCCAGCUUCUCGUGUUCCUUCUUCCUGAUAUUGCUGUCAUUCGGAACCGCUACAUCGAUCACUACGGCCAUCUUCUUCUGUUUGUCUACCACCACUAUGUCCGGUUGGUUAGCCACCACCAUUUUGUCCGUCUGUAUCUGGAAGUCCCACAGGAUCUUAGCUCGGUCAUUCUCCACCACCCUUGGGGGCAUCUCCCAUUUUGACCUUGGGACUUCCAGGUUGUACUCAGCACAGAUGUUCCUGUACACUAUGCCGGCUACUUGGUUAUGGCGUUCCAUGUAUGCCUUGCCUGCUAGCAUCUUGCACCCUGCUGUUAUGUGCUGGAUUGUCUCUGGGGCAUCUUUACACAGCCUGCACCUGGGGUCUUGCCUGGUGUGAUAGACCCCAGCCUCUAUGGAUCUUGUGCUCAGAGCUUGUUCUUGUGCUGCCAUGAUUAGUGCCUCUGUGCUGUCUUUCAGUCCAGCUUUGUCCAGCCACUGGUAGGAUUUCUGGAUAUCAGCCACCUCCUCUAUCUGCCGGUGGUACAUACCGUGCAGGGGCCUGUCCUUC
ensembl:lncRNA